GUGCCCUUAUUCCAUGCGGUGGCCAUUUGGUGGAAUUGCACUUCUUUGUUCAUAAAUUCACCCAGUUCUACCAGUGUAACGUACAACUGGCCAUGAAACUAUUGCAACGUUCCAUUUACCUUGGAAAUGGGACAUUGGAGCUGGGAAUGACAUCACCGCCGAGUUAUCGGCGUUCCAUUUACCAAGUCGGAAAACAAGAUGGCGACCACUGCGAAAAAAACUUCAACUUCUAGACAAACGUGGUCCUUCUGCAACCUUCACACAUGGUGGAUGAAUAGGAAACACAAAGACGCAGAAGGAUAAUCUAGAUAAUAAUAAUGCUGCAGCAUACACAGUGAAUUGAAGACUGGAACCGAUCAUGCUGAGUUUACCAUGGCAAACCAAAAGAGCUUCCGAUGAGGUGCAAGUGGAGGCGCCUACAAGAUCUGCAGAACACCCGGAUCGAUGCAAUGGUGAUGAUCAUAAUGGCGGCUUGUUUUCUCCACAACAUGUGCAUGGGUGCUUUGGAGAUCUGUCAGAACAUCCAAAUGGAUGCCCAAGACCGGCAGAUGAAAAUGAGGCCAUGCUGUCAAAUGAUCCGGCUUUCUUAAAAUGUUCAUACUGUAAAUAGUUAUCAAUAAUGCACUGCU